rnacentral:tRNA from 1 species
GAGACAUUAGCUCAGCCGGUAGAGCACCUGACUUUUAAUCAGGGUGUCGUAGGUUCGAAUCCUACAUGUCUCACCA